UCGCAAUCCGCCAACCGGUCAAGCCGUGUCGCGGAAGGUUUUCAACCAGCCAUAACCCAGCAAACCUGGGAGUGAGGUCAGCG
rnacentral:ncRNA from 1 species